rnacentral:rRNA from 1 species
UACGUAGGAAGCAAGCGUUGUCCGGAAUUACUGGGCGUAAAGCGCACGUAGGCGGCUUUCUAAGUCGGGGGUGAAAUCCUGGAGCUCAACUCCAGAACUGCCUUCGAUACUGGAAAGCUCGAGUCCGGGAGAGGUGAGUGGAACUGCGAGUGUAGAGGUGAAAUUCGUAGAUAUUCGCAAGAACACCAGUGGCGAAGGCGGCUCACUGGCCCGGUACUGACGCUGAGGUGCGAAAGCGUGGGGAGCAAACAGG